UAACGGCGAGUGAAGCGGUAACAGCUCAAAUUUGAAAUCUGGCCUCACGGUCCGAGUUGUAAUUUGUAGAGGAUGCUUCGAGCAUGGUCUGGCCUAAGUUCCUUGGAACAGGACGUCAUAGAGGGUGAGAAUCCCGUAUGCGGCCAGGUGCCUACGCUCAUGUGAAGCUCCUUCGACGAGUCGAGUUGUUUGGGAAUGCAGCUCAAAAUGGGUGGUAAAUUUCAUCUAAAGCUAAAUAUUGGCCAGAGACCGAUAGCGCACAAGUAGAGUGAUCGAAAGAUGAAAAGCACUUUGGAAAGAGAGUUAAACAGUACGUGAAAUUGUUGAAAGGGAAGCGCUUGCAACCAGACUUGCGCGCGGCCGAUCAUCCGGUGUUCUCACCGGUGCACUCGGCCGUGCUCAGGCCAGCAUCGGUUUUGGCGGCUGGAUAAAGGCCCUAGGAAUGUAGCUCCUCUCGGGGAGUGUUAUAGCCUAGGGUGCAAUGCAGCCUGCUGGGACCGAGGACCGCGCUUCGGCUAGGAUGCUGGCGUAAUGGUUGUAAGCGGCCCGUCUUGAAACACGGACCAAGGAGUCUAACAUCUAUGCGAGUGUUUGGGUGUCAAACCCAUACGCGUAAUGAAAGUGAACGGAGGUGAGAACCCUUAAGGGUGCAUCAUCGACCGGUCCUGAAGUUUACGGAAGGAUCUGAGUAAGAGCAUAGCU
rnacentral:rRNA from 1 species